GGACGAGCUGCAGCCUUCCAAAGAACGGCAACAACCUCACCAAAUUCACCAGGUGGACGGAGAUGCUGGUGGGACGAAGGAUGAGGAAACCCUGUCAAAGUCUCCUCCUCAUCCUGGAGCUGUGUGGAGGCCAGCUUUACACCUUCUGCUGUGUUUUCUCUUAUUCACUUUCAUGCAGUGUUAUUUUCGACAAACUCUUGUCAGUUCCUGAAUGAUUUUAUUGCAGAAUAUCAUUGUCAACAAAGAUUCUAUUUUUGUAUUAAACUGUUUCAAACUCAA